rnacentral:misc_RNA from 1 species
GAUGAAGAACGCAGCGAAAUGUGAUAAGUAAUGUGAAUUGCAGAAUUCAGUGAAUCAUCGAGUCUUUGAACGCACAUUGCGCCCCCUGGUAUUCCGGGGGGCAUGCCUGUCCGAGCGUCAUUGCUGCCCUCAAGCACGGCUUGUGUGUUGGGCCCCCGUCCCCGGUUUCCCCCGGGGACGGGCCCGAAAGGCAGCGGCGGCACCGCGUCCGGUCCUCGAGCGUAUGGGGCUUUGUCACCCGCUCUGUAGGCCCGGCCGGCGCCAGCCGACACCCAACUUUAUUUCUAAGGUUGACCUCGGAUCAGGUAGGGAUACCCGCUGAACUUAAGCAUAUCAAUAAGCGGAGGA